UGAGUUUGAUCCUGGCUCAGAUUGAACGCUGGCGGCAUGCCUUACACAUGCAAGUCGAACGGCAGCACGGGUGCUUGCACCUGGUGGCGAGUGGCGAACGGGUGAGUAAUACAUCGGAACAUGUCCUGUAGUGGGGGAUAGCCCGGCGAAAGCCGGAUUAAUACCGCAUACGAUCUACGGAUGAAAGCGGGGGACCUUCGGGCCUCGCGCUAUAGGGUUGGCCGAUGGCUGAUUAGCUAGUUGGUGGGGUAAAGGCCUACCAAGGCGGCGAUCAGUAGCUGGUCUGAGAGGACGACCAGCCACACUGGGACUGAGACACGGCCCAGACUCCUACGGGAGGCAGCAGUGGGGAAUUUUGGACAAUGGGCGAAAGCCUGAUCCAGCAAUGCCGCGUGUGUGAAGAAGGCCUUCGGGUUGUAAAGCACUUUUGUCCGGAAAGAAAUCCUUGGCUCUAAUACAGUCGGGGGAUGACGGUACCGGAAGAAUAAGCACCGGCUAACUACGUGCCAGCAGCCGCGGUAAUACGUAGGGUGCGAGCGUUAAUCGGAAUUACUGGGCGUAAAGCGUGCGCAGGCGGUUUGCUAAGACCGAUGUGAAAUCCCCGGGUCCACCUGGGAACUGCAUUGGUGACUGGCAGGCUAGAGUAUGGCAGAGGGGGGGUAGAAUUCCACGUGUAGCAGUGAAAUGCGUAGAGAUGUGGAAGAAUUCCGAUGGCGAAAGGCAGCCCCCUGGGCCAAUACUGACGCUCAUGCACGAAAGCGUGGGGAGCAAACAGGAUUAGAUACCCUGGUAGUCCACGCCCUAAACGAUGUCAACUAGUUGUUGGGGAUUCAUUUCCUUAGUAACGUAGCUAACGCGUGAAGUUGACCGCCUGGGGAGUACGGUCGCAAGAUUAAAACUCAAAGGAAUUGACGGGGACCCGCACAAGCGGUGGAUGAUGUGGAUUAAUUCGAUGCAACGCGAAAAACCUUACCUACCCUUGACAUGGUCGGAAUCCCGCUGAGAGGUGGGAGUGCUCGAAAGAGAACCGGCGCACAGGUGCUGCAUGGCUGUCGUCAGCUCGUGUCGUGAGAUGUUGGGUUAAGUCCCGCAACGAGCGCAACCCUUGUCCUUAGUUGCUACGCAAGAGCACUCUAAGGAGACUGCCGGUGACAAACCGGAGGAAGGUGGGGAUGACGUCAAGUCCUCAUGGCCCUUAUGGGUAGGGCUUCACACGUCAUACAAUGGUCGGAACGGAGGGUUGCCAACCCGCGAGGGGGAGCUAAUCCCAGAAAACCGAUCGUAGUCCGGAUUGCACUCUGCAACUCGAGUGCAUGAAGCUGGAAUCGCUAGUAAUCGCGGAUCAGCGUGCCGCGGUGAAUACGUUCCCGGGUCUUGUACACACCGCCCGUCACACCAUGGGAGUGGGUUUUACCAGAAGUGGCUAGUCUAACCGCAAGGAGGACGGUCACCACGGUAGGAUUCAUGACUGGGGUGAAGUCGUAACAAGGU
rnacentral:rRNA from 1 species